GACGAACGCUGGCGGCGUGCUUAACACAUGCAAGUCGAACGGAAAGGCCCUGCUUGCAGGGUCCUCGAGUGGCGAACGGGUGAGUAACACGUGGGUGAUCUGCCCUGCACUUCGGGAUAAGCCUGGGAAACUGGGUCUAAUACCGGAUAGGAGCCAUUUUUAGUGUGAUGGUUGGAAAGUUUUUUCGGUGUAGGAUGAGCUCGCGGCCUAUCAGCUUGUUGGUGGGGUAAUGGCCUACGAAGGCGGCGCCGGGUAGCCGGCGCGGGAGGGUGGACGGCCACAGUGAGACUGAGAUACGGCCCAGACUCCGACGGGAGGGAGAAGCAGGGAUGAGUGAUCUAGGGGCGUAAGCGUGAGGCUGCUCCGCCGCUGGGGGGAUGACGGCCAUGGGGUUGUAAACGUCAUUCGCUAGGGACGAAGCUGUUUGUGACGGUACCUAGAGAAGAAGCACCGGCUAACUACGUG
rnacentral:rRNA from 1 species